AGUGAACGCUGGCGGCAGGCCUAACACAUGCAAGUCGAACGGCAGCGGGUCCUUCGGGAUGCCGGCGAGUGGCGGACGGGUGAGGAAUACAUGGGAAUCUGCCCAGUCGUGGGGGAUAACGUAGGGAAACUUACGCUAAUACCGCAUGCGACCUUAGGGUGAAAGCGGCGGACCGCAAGGCGUCGCGCGAUUGGAUGAGCCCAUGUCGGAUUAGCUAGUUGGCGGGGUAAAGGCCCACCAAGGCGACGAUCCGUAGCUGAUCUGAGAGGAUGAUCAGCCACACUGGAACUGAGACACGGUCUAGACUCCUACGGGAGGCAGCAGUGGGGAAUAUUGGACAAUGGGCGCAAGCCUGAUCCAGCCAUGCCGCGUGAGUGAAGAAGGCCUUCGGGUUGUAAAGCUCUUUUGUCCGGAAAGAAAAGCUCUCGGUUAAUACCCGGGGGUUCUGACGGUACCGGAAGAAUAAGCACCUGCUAACUUCGUGCCAGCCGCCGCCGUAAAAC
rnacentral:rRNA from 1 species